rnacentral:tRNA from 9 species
GGUGGGGUUCCCGAGCGGCCAAAGGGAGCAGACUGUAAAUCUGCCGUCAUCGACUUCGAAGGUUCGAAUCCUUCCCCCA